ACUUACCUGAUAGAUUGAUGCGUAAAAUCGAAGACAGUUUCGUGCUUCGAAUUUGACAGGUAAAAGAGAUGGCGCUGUUGAGCUCCAUACAUUUUGUGGUAACUCUGAUUGUCAAAAGUUGACGUUUGACAACUCGGUGAGUCGGUGACCGCAAAACAAAACAUGGCGCAGUACAGCGCCAUCUGUUUUGGAUGUCAAACUAAGGGGCACGUUUUCAACCUACAUAUUUGCAAUGUGUCAAUGUGAAAAUUAUCGAUCAUUUAAUUCUUAUCACAAAUAACAGAUGUGGGUAGGUAGAAUAUAUACCUACCUGGUAGGUAUAUAUUCCUCGUACCGUAUCUCCUAUCACGUAGAUAACUCCGUCAGAGCCUUCGAUAACUAAUACGGAAUAUAAAUUUGCACUCUGUUUUUCGCAUAUCUUUCACAUCAAGCUUUUGAUCAUCAAUAACAAUGGAGUACGAAUAUUGCCCUAUCUGCAAUAGACCAUUAAUAAAUGAAGCGAACCUCAGAGUACUGCGGAUCAGAUGGGCAGGGAUCGGUAUUGGAGUGACUGUUGGUGGUGGAGUAUUAGGAGCUUGUCUACUGCCAUUUUUGGGAUUCGGAUCUGCUGGAAUAACUGCAGGAUCAUGGGCUGCAAGUGUGCAGGGACCCGCAGUAGCGGCUGGAUCGGCAUUCGCCAUAUGCCAAUCCUUAGGCGCCACCGGGCUUGGAAUAUUAUUGUUUGGCGCGGUCGGGACAGCAACUGGUGGUGCUGGUGCCCUUGGAUUGAUUUAUGCAAACCGAGCCUUAUUUAAUUGGUGCAGUUGCAAUUAGUGUUGAACGUUUUCUUUCAAAGUACCUAAUUAAUUAUCACUUAAUUUUCUCUGCUAUUUUUGAAGUGAAAACUUCUUUAGCGGCGCUGUGAUGGGGAAAAAAUAUUAAAUUCGCGAGAGGUCAGGUGACCGACAGAUUCGUCAGAUUGAAAAUUCGUAAGACGGACACGUGACCUGAUCGAAAAAGUGUUACAAUGUCAUUGAAGCCAGUAAUUAAAUGUUUUGUAAUAUAAUAAUUUAAUGUAAUAUAAAUUGUCAUGUUUGUGUUCGAUAGCGCAAUAAAUUAAUAUUGUAUAUUACCACAUAAAUGAUAAGUAGUACUUUUUACUGAUAAUUAAAGCAAAUCGUGCAAAAUUAUUCCCUAACCAUUCCAAAAUAUCAAAAAUGCACAACGGUAAUGUUCAAGUUUUCACUUCUGCCGGCACUCCCGGAGUGCAACCCGUUGUUUUUUUAUUUAAAGCUGCGAUUAGACAUAGUGUAUUAAAACUCUUCCGCAAAAAGUGAGUAUUUUUAUUAAUAAAAAGUACAAUCUUAUCAUUAUAAUAGAUUACCUACUGUGAUAAAUCUCGCUGCAAAACUAAUAAUACCACAGCACAGAUAGUGCUUAGAUAAAUUUUCGCGUAUAAUCGCAAUAUAUCAGAGGGCCUACCGCGAACAUCGAAGUUCGCAAAUUGCGGGCAUGGCAUCUUUCUCUGGCACUCUAAUUACGCGUUAAUUGGAGUAAAAGAGAAAGAUGCCCGCAAUUUGCGAAGUUCGGUUUUCGCGAUAGGCCCUCCCUCUGUAUUGAAAUAUCUUAUCUCGAAAGUUCCCACUUUAAUCGUCUAUGCUUAUAAACCCUUUGAAUGCCAGGCGGCGAAGGAAUAUGCCGUGCCCCGGACGCCAGGCGAUCGCGAUUAUUAAAGUGAAAUUGGACUUUACGGAGUCCCGCGUAAAUCCCUAUUGCAUUGGCGAAGCUGACUGCUGUAGCCGUUGUUGGCGUCCGUAGCAAGACUUUCCGAUGACGUCCACCGUCGUCUGUAGUCUGUAGCGGUCAUAGGGUUAAUAAUUUUUGAGUCUCCUUUAACACUAUGUGACGGAAGACCUCAAAGACGAUCUCGAUUUGGAGAGGGAACGAAGAGCAUUAGCGGUCAGAAGCAAUAUAUUGAUGGCUCGUAGGUUUGCCCGUUGUUCAAAACAAGUUAAAAGCACCCUUUUUAAGGCGUUCUGCCAAGUAUUUUACACGGGUAGCCUAUGGGUCAACUACACGCUGAAAGCCUAUAAUGCUCUUCGUAUCCAGUAUAAUGAUGCCUUCAGAAUCCUGUUGAGGUUGCCACGGUUCUGUAGCUCUUCAGGAAUGUUUCCCGAGGCGCGUACUGACGACUUUUAUGCGAUCAGGCGAAAGCGGGUCGCAUCUAUUCUAAACCGCAUCCGAGGCAGCGACAACAGGAUACUGAAGGUAAUUGCCGACAGACCAGAGAGUUCCAUCCUGUGUACAUGGGUCAAAUUUAUUUUUUAAAAUAUUACGACAUUUUUAUACUUGUACUUAUUGCUCUUUUGACAUGAAAUUAUUAUUUAUGGGAAUAUGCAUUGAUGUAGGUAAAAGGGGAAUAUGAAUAAAAAUAGUAAAUUUUGACAUUACGAAUUAUUAUUCUAGUCUAUUUUAUUUUGAAUUUGACAUGUUAAUUUAUUAAUUAUUUUUGUAUUCAUUAUUUCAACUAAUUUUUAUUUUACUAUUUAUCAUGAUUUCAUUGUUAUUAUGUCAAUAUUAUUAAUUAUUUAUUAUUCUUAUUAUGUUUGGAUUUGAUUUGAUUUUAAUGUACUCACUAACCCCUAGCUAUAACGAUGGUACUAACAAUGUUUUAUGGAAUUCUGAUGGUUCUGAAAUAAAAAUAUUUUAUUUUUA